UACAGAGGUCUCAAGCGUUGUUCGAAUUCAUUGGGUUUAAAGGGUGCGUAGGCGGCCUUGUAAGUCAGGGGUGAAAGACGGUAGCUUAACUAUCGCAGUGCCUUUGAUACUGCAGGGCUUGAAUGUACUUGAGGUAGGCGGAAUGUGACAAGUAGCAGUGAAAUGCAUAGAUAUGUCACAGAACACCAAUUGCGAAGGCAGCUUACUAAAGUAUGAUUGACGCUGAGGCACGAAAGCGUGGGGAGCAAACAGG
rnacentral:rRNA from 1 species